rnacentral:rRNA from 1 species
UACGAAGGGGGCUAGCGUUGUUCGGAAUUACUGGGCGUAAAGAGCUCGUAGGUGGUUUGUCGCGUUGUUCGUGAAAUCUCACGGCUUAACUGUGAGCGUGCGGGCGAUACGGGCAGACUAGAGUACUGCAGGGGAGACUGGAAUUCCUGGUGUAGCGGUGGAAUGCGCAGAUAUCAGGAGGAACACCGGUGGCGAAGGCGGGUCUCUGGGCAGUAACUGACGCUGAGGAGCGAAAGCGUGGGGAGCGAACAGG